UACAGAGGGUGCAAGCGUUGCUCGGAAUCAUUGGGCGUAAAGGGCAAGUAGGUGGUCUCAUUUGUCUUGUGUGAAAUCCUUGGGCUUAACUCAAGAAGUGCGCAAGAAACGGUGAGACUCGAGUUCUGGAGAGGGUCGUGGAAUUCCCGGUGUAGCGGUGAAAUGCGUAGAGAUCGGGAGGAAGACCAGUGGCGAAGGCGGGUCUCUGGACAGUUCCUGACGCUGAGGCACGAAAGCGUGGGGAGCGAACAGG
rnacentral:rRNA from 1 species